UAAAAGAUAAGCUAAUUAAGCUAAUGGGUUCAUACCCCAUUUAUAGAAGCAAUCUUCUUCUUUUUA
rnacentral:tRNA from 1 species